rnacentral:lncRNA from 1 species
ACAGUGAGAUCGCUACCCCCUGGUGGAGGGUCUCAUGGAAGGCUACAAUGGCACCAUCUUUGCCUGUGGCAGUGGGGAAUCCUUCACCAUGCAGGGAGCUGCAGAUUCUGCCUCACAGAAAGGGAUCAUCCCCAGGGUGUUUGAACACAUCUUUGAGAGUGUGCAGGGCUUCUCCCUGCUGGGGCUGCUCACCUGGAGCAAAUCCAGCUCCCUGCCUCAAUCCCCAGGUGGAUCUGGAAGCAGAGAAGCAGCUGAUCAGAGCAGUGGGAGAUGAAGCUUUUGAAGCCCAAACCCUCCGGUUGAGAAGGCUCGGUGGGAGGAGCACGUGUGGGAUGGGAGGGGAUGCGACUCCCUCUGCCGACCUUCGGAUCCGCUGCAGCUGCUGCCGGCUCCGAGCUCCCUUCCUGGGGUAAGAAACAGAACAUAAAAGUAAUGCUCUUCAAUUUUACAUUGAAAAUCUUCCUUUUCAAAACACUUGGAAAUCGGUUUUCCUCUGAUAUUUUGUAAUAGAAUCAGAGGGUCUGCAAAAAAAUUGAUAUUUGUGUGUACAAUCCUAGACCUGCACACGAAGGACUUGCUUUAUUUGGGUAUUUAGGUUAUCAAAGAAAUAUUGCAAUUUUUUAACCAAAGUUAGGAAAUUCCAGGAGUUCUAAGACCACAUUAGUAAGAUUAGCUUCAGUUUCAUUCAAAAAUCAUCCCUGUGGAGAAACAUGAGAAGACUUUCUUUAAAACAGACAUGGAAUAAUCUCUCCCUUGGGCAGGGACACCUUCUACUAAUUCCAGGCUGCUCCAAGCCUUGUCCAGCCUGGCUUUGGACACUCCCAGGGAUUCAAGGGCAGCCACAGCUGCUCUGGAUUUAUUGAAUUUUGUUCUGGAUUAAUUUAAUUUAUGUUACUUAAUCCUAAUUUGUACCUACAUUAGAAAACUUUCCAAAUAUUGAAGCUGGCUUGUAGCUUAGGGGGUAUCAUCCAAGCUGAGUACUAUUAAAAUUAUGGUGGCAGGAGAGAAUCCAGCUCUGGUCAAGGGUGGGUGAUUUAGUGUGGUUCUAAAAAAUCAUAGUUUGUGUGUUGGUUUGUUGUUU